ACGGAGGCGCGGCCUACAUCAGUAAGCUCCAAGCAACGUUUGGGAAGACGGGAGCCGAAAGGGGAAGCCGCCGAGGGGCCGACAAUUUCCCAGUUGUCGGUUUCCGGGUCAACGCAGAAUAUGCGUUGAACUGUCGCAGUUGCGGAGAGCUGUC
rnacentral:ncRNA from 1 species